rnacentral:tRNA from 1 species
GCUUUGGUGGUUCAGUGGUAGCAUCCUCGCCUGCCACGCGGGAGACCUGGGUUCGAUUCAAGGCCAAUGCA